rnacentral:rRNA from 1 species
CCUACGGGUGGCAGCAGUGAGGAAUAUUGGUCAAUGGACGAGAGUCUGAACCAGCCAAGUAGCGUGAAGGAUGACUGCCCUAUGGGUUGUAAACUUCUUUUAUAUGGGAAUAAAAUGUUCCACGUGUGGGAUUUUGUAUGUACCAUAUGAAUAAGGAUCGGCUAACUUCGUGCCAGCAGCCGCGGUAAUACGGAGGAUCCGAGCGUUAUCCGGAUUUAUUGGGUUUAAAGGGAGCGUAGGUGGAUAGUUAAGUCAGUUGUGAAAGUUUGCGGCUCAACCGUAAAAUUGCAGUUGAAACUGGCAGUCUUGAGUACAGUAGAGGUGGGCGGAAUUCGUGGUGUAGCGGUGAAAUGCUUAGAUAUCACGAAGAACUCCGAUUGCGAAGGCAGUUCACUGGACUGCAACUGACACUGAGGCUCGAAAGUGUGGGUAUCAAACAGGAUUAGAUACCCCUGUAGUC